rnacentral:tRNA from 1 species
GCUUCUGUAGCCUAGUUGGUAAAGGCAGCACUCUAGUAUGUGUCUCAGCAUAGCUGAGGUCGUGAGUUCGACUCUCACCAGACACA